UUUUUAGUGUUGCUGACGAGACGCUGAUCAUGUGAAGAGUUUGCAAAUCAAAUGCCCAAUUGUGGUGCUACCAGACAGCAGAAAACAAGUUGGUACCUCCAGCAGGCAGAGAGGCAAGAACCAUUCUUCCACCAGUUCAGGGACAAGCUACACUAUUCAUAAUACUGUGUAAUGCUCAAUGUAAUUGCAGUGCUGGUCUUUUUUAAACUGAAUGUAUUUGUAUCGUUUAAGAAAUGUACAAAUUAAAGGAAAUGUAUGGUUGAAACAUGCCUUUAAUGUUUA